rnacentral:rRNA from 1 species
CAGCACGGGGGCAACCCUGGUGGCGAGUGGCGGACGGGUGAGUAAUACAUCGGAACGUGUCUAUAAGUGGGGGAUAACGCGUCGAAAGGUGUGCUAAUACCGCAUAAUCUCUCAGGAGAAAAGCAGGGGAUCGCAAGACCUUGCGCUUUAGGAGCGGCCGAUGCCUGAUUAGCUUGUUGGUAAGGUAAAGGCUUACCAAGGCUUCGAUCAGUAGCUGGUCUGAGAGGACGACCAGCCACACUGGGACUGAGACACGGCCCAGACUCC